AAAAGAACUUCACAGUCUGGGAGGGAGGGAGACGUGCAUACAGCUACAUCUAACACGAGGCAGGAGGUGUUAGGUGAUAUAAUAAAGGCAAUGGGGGGCCGUGGAUAUUCUCGGAACAGAAGCACAAUGUUGUCAAGUUUGAAAGAUCUCUCUGAGGUCAGCAUAAGAAAGACACAAAACCACAAGCUGAAGCCCUGGAUGGGAGGCUGUGGCGAUAAUCCAGGUUAAGUUACGUCUGUUGGAUUUAUAUGGUGAAGAUAGUACCUAAUGGCCUGCUACUGCACAUCUCUUCCCAACUUCACAUUCUGUAAUGUCAUACUGGUAGCUUGGAAUCAACCACAGUGAGAGAAUUUACACCAUGGGAAUCAGCAAAAGCUAUAAACCAGGGCUCUUUUUCCUGAAGUGCUGAUCGUUCAAUAUUUAUCAGUACACCAUUGGAUUGACAAAUAAAUGGAUGGGAGAAUG